AAUGUCUGGGAAACUGCCUGAUGGAGGGGGAUAACUACUGGAAACGGUAGCUAAUACCGCAUAACGUCGCAAGACCAAAGAGGGGGACCUUCGGGCCUCUUGCCAUCAGAUGUGCCCAGAUGGGAUUAGCUAGUAGGUGGGGUAAUGGCUCACCUAGGCGACGAUCCCUAGCUGGUCUGAGAGGAUGACCAGCCACACUGGAACUGAGACACGGUCCAGACUCCUACGGGAGGCAGCAGUGGGGAAUAUUGCACAAUGGGCGCAAGCCUGAUGCAGCCAUGCCGCGUGUAUGAAGAAGGCCUUCGGGUUGUAAAGUACUUUCAGCGGGGAGGAAGGUGUUGUGGUUAAUAACCGCAGCAAUUGACGUUACCCGCAGAAGAAGCACCGGCUAACUCCGUGCCAGCAGCCGCGGUAAUACGGAGGGUGCAAGCGUUAAUCGGAAUUACUGGGCGUAAAGCGCACGCAGGCGGUCUGUCAAGUCGGAUGUGAAAUCCCCGGGCUCAACCUGGGAACUGCAUUCGAAACUGGCAGGCUAGAGAACUGAAGUUGU
rnacentral:rRNA from 1 species